rnacentral:rRNA from 1 species
UUUCGCAAUGCCCGAAAGGGUGACGAAGCGACGCCGCGUGGGUGAGGAAGGCCUUCGGGUUGUAAAGCCCUGUCAGGAGUUAAGAAAUGUAAGUGCGCUAAUAUCGCAUUUAUUUGACAAAGGCUCCAAAGGAAGCCACGGCUAACUCUGUGCCAGCAGCCGCGGUAGUACAGAGGUGGCAAGCGUUGUUCGGAAUUAUUGGGCGUAAAGAGCACGUAGGUGGGUUUGUAAGUCAGAUGUGAAAGCCUUCUGUUCAACGGAAGAAUUGCAUCUGAAACUGCAAGUCUUGAGUGUAGGAGGGGAGAAUGGAACUUCUGGUGGAGCGGUGAAAUGCGUAGAUAUCAGAAGGAACGCCGGCGGCGAAAGCGAUUCUCUGGCCUAUUACUGACACUCAGUGUGCGAAAGCUAGGGGAGCAAACGGGAUUAGAUACCCCGGUAGUCCUAGCUGUAAACGAUGGGCACUAAGUAGAGGGGUUUU